UCCUGGGGGUCCUUUCAGGUUAUGUGGAAAAUUUGAACAGGUUCCUUCAUUCCUAGGCCAAAUUACAGGGGGGGAACAAAUCCUCACAGCUGCCCCGUGAGAAUAUGAACCCCCCCCCUUAUUUUGAGAACCGUGAGUGCUGGACUCCAACUUGUGCUGUGUUUGUGGGGAAGCUACACAUGACACAGACAACAGAUGGAUUCAGUGUGACGAGUGUUGCAGGUGGUUCCAUCUUGUAUGUGUCGGGGAGCCUCCAACCGAAGGCUCUUUUUUGUGUACAGCAUGUACAGAAAUUAAAUGCUAAAUAUUUGAAGCUUGCUUGAAGACCAUUUUGCUUUUUUUUAAUUAAAAUUUGUAUUUUUUCCAUUUUAUUUUAUUAUUUAAAAAAAAAAACUUUUUUUUUUUCUUAAUAAAGUUCAAAGUUAUAA